rnacentral:miRNA from 1 species
UAGCCAGGGAUGAUUUGCCUG